rnacentral:rRNA from 1 species
GAUGAACGCUAGCUACAGGCUUAACACAUGCAAGUCGAGGGGCAGCAUUAUCGAAGCUUGCUUUGAUAGAUGGCGACCGGCGCACGGGUGCGUAACACGUAUCCAAUCUACCCAUGGCUCAGGGAUAGCCUUUCGAAAGAAAGAUUAAUACCUGAUGGUCUUACAUGGAGACAUCUCCUAGUAAGUAAAGAUUUAUCGGCGAUGGAUGAGGAUGCGUCUGAUUAGGUAGAUGGCGGGGUAACGGCCCACCAUGCCGACGAUCAGUAGGGGUUCUGAGAGGAAGGUCCCCCACAUUGGAACUGAGACACGGUCCAAACUCC